GCCAGUGUGGUAUAGUGAUUUGACUGUUAGAUUAUGACUCUGGAGACCAGGGUUUGAUUCCCAGCAUGGCCA